UCAACACUAAGAAAAAAUAAAAAAAACUCAUUGACCUAAUUAUCUAAACGGAGAGCGAGCCCGUGUAUCUCUCUCUCUUUCUCGCAUCACGGCGAUCCCUCUGUCCGACGAGAAUUCAUGGAAUCGGAAGCAAACAGAGGAUUGUGGUAUCAUGUCGCCGUCCAUCACGUCAUGUCGCCGCCGCAAACAUCGGUAAAGGGUUAUGUUGAUUUACAGAGGAUGAAGAAGUACAGAGGCAAAUGGCAGAGGCCACUCACAUGACAAAGAAGAAAGUGAAAAACGAGGCCAAAGUGGGUAUAAUCAGAUUAUAGUUCUAUAUGAUUUUCUUAUGUUGAUUGAGUAAUCAUAUAUAUGUUUGUGUUUACGAUUGUAGAGGAAAUCAGUUUUUUUUUUUUUCAUUCUGGAUAUGAAAUUACAAGCAGGAACCAAAGGAGAAUAAUAAUGACUUACCGUCAAGAAGCUUUGGCACUCUAUUGUCCAGGGGAGAUAAUAAUGCAGGAAGGCAGGCGUUAGGAAGUUCUAACACACAAGCCAAAAAACUAAAACCGAAUCAAUCAUCCAAGUCACCUUUUCCUAUCUACAUAGAUGCAGUUUCAGACACUACAUCAGGGAGUCAACCAGAAUCAGACAAGUCAAAGCCAGAGUUUGGUAGUUGGCUCAUGCUUGGAGGAACAAAGAAAAAAAUUCUUUACCUAGAAAAUGGGCAUCAUUCAAGGUACCUCAGAAACCCAUAGUGAGAACUGCAGCAGCCUCUGCUUCAACCUUUGAGGUUUUUGUCGGUGAAGAAGAAUGCACAAAAGAGGGCGGAGAUAAGAAGAAGAGUGAUGAAACUAUCUCAUCAUCAUCAAACGCUCUGCCCCUUAAUGAUGGCCGUGAGAUAAAAAAAGAAACAGAGCUGCUUCGACAGAACCCUUUAAGACAUUUCCCACCCAACAGCUUCCUACGAUGAUGAUGAUAUUGGACAUUCAUCUCCACACGAUCUUCUGCUUUGAGAUUUGAGCUUAUAUCCGUGGUUUGAAAAAAUAUCACAAGAUUGUGUUGCUGCUAGUUUACAACUCAGGUAUGGACAGUAGAUUUGUUGGUAGCUCAGGAAUUAUGUUUGGCCACACAUAAAUUGAGCUUGGCUAACAUAUUCUCUAAGACCUUGAUGGUUCUAAGAGGGAACUCACGAGGAUGAUUCAAAUCUUGCUUCAAGGUGGAUAAUUGGUUGAGCUUCUCUAUUGGCGAGGAUUAGAUGUAUGAAAAUUGGUUUGAGUAUUCUAAAGAGAUUACAGUUUCCUAUAGUGGAUGCAACUGGACUUAGUUUAUUAAACUCACGCUUGCAAUUUUCUUUGGGGGUGGGAGUGAUAGUGAGUAUCAGUUAUCAAAGAGGAAGGAUAGUGUAUUCAUCUACUUAUUUUUAAUUAUGUUUUUAAUUUUA